rnacentral:rRNA from 1 species
ACCCGCUGAACUUAAGCAUAUCAAUAAGCGGAGGAAAAGAAACCAACAGGGAUUGCCCUAGUAACGGCGAGUGAAGCGGCAACAGCUCAAAUUUGAAAUCUGGCCUCGGCCCGAGUUGUAAUUUGCAGAGGAAGCUUUAGGCGCGGCACCAACUGAGUCCCCUGGAACGGGGCGCCAUAGAGGGUGAGAGCCCCGUAUAGUUGGACGCCUAGCCUGUGUAAAGCCCCUUCGACGAGUCGAGUUGUUUGGGAAUGCAGCUCUAAAUGGGAGGUAAAUUUCUUCUAAAGCUAAAUACUGGCCAGAGACCGAUAGCGCACAAGUAGAGUGAUCGAAAGAUGAAAAGCACUUUGGAAAGAGAGUUAAAAAGCACGUGAAAUUGUUGAAAGGGAAGCGCUUGCAGCCAGACUUGCCUGUAGUUGCUCAUCCGGGUUUUUACCCGGUGCACUCUUCUAUAGGCAGGCCAGCAUCAGUUUGGGCGGUUGGAUAAAGGUCUCUGUCAUGUACCUCUCUUCGGGGAGAACUUAUAGGGGAGACGACAUGCAACCAGCCCGGACUGAGGUCCGCGCAUCUGCUAGGAUGCUGGCGUAAUGGCUGU